UACGGAGGGUGCAAGCGUUAAUCGGAAUUACUGGGCGUAAAGCGUGCGCAGGCGGUUUGUUAAGUCCGUUGUGAAAGCCCCGAGCUCAACUUGGGAAUUGCAGUGGAUACUGGCAGGCUGGAGUACGGUAGAGGAAGGUGGAAUUCCCGGUGUAGUAGUGAAAUGCGUAGAUAUCGGGAGGAACACCAGUGGCGAAGGCGGCCUUCUGGACCAGUACUGACGCCCAUGCACGAAAGCGUGGGGAGCAAACAGG
rnacentral:rRNA from 1 species